rnacentral:rRNA from 1 species
UAGGGAAUCUUCCACAAUGGACGCAAGUCUGAUGGAGCAACGCCGCGUGAGUGAAGAAGGUUUUCGGACCGUAAAGCUCUGUUGUUGGUGAAGAAGGAUAGAGGUAGUAACUGGCCUUUAUUUGACGGUAAUCAACCAGAAAGUCACGGCUAACUACGUGCCAGCAGCCGCGGUAAUACGUAGGUGACAAGCGUUGUCCGGAUUUAUUGGGCGUAAAGCGAGCGCAGGCGGAAGAAUAAGUCUGAUGUGAAAGCCCUCGGCUUAACCGAGGAAUUGCAUCGGAAACUGUUUUUCUUGAGUGCAGAAGAGGAGAGUAGAACUCCAUGUGUAGCGGUGGAAUGCGUAGAUAUAUGGAAGAAUACCAGUGGCGAAGGCGGCUCUCUGGUCUGCAACUGACGCUGAGGCUCGAAAAGCAUGGGUAGCGAACAGGAUUAGAUACCCUGGUAGUCCACGCCGUAAACGAUGAGUGCUAGGUGUUGGAU